rnacentral:rRNA from 1 species
ACUCCUACGGGAGGCAGCAGUGGGAAUAUUGCACAAUGGGAAGCCAUCGAUGCAGCCAUGCCGCGCUGUGUGAAGAAGGCCAAUUCGGGCUUUGGUUAAAGACACUUUUCAGCGAGGAGGAAAGGGUGUGUGUUAAUACCAUACAUCUGUGACGUUACUCGCAGAAGAAGCACCGGCUAACUCCGUGCCAGCAGCCGCGGUAAUACGGAGGGUGCGAGCGUUAAUCGGAAUUACUGGGCGUAAAGCGUGCGCAGGCGGUUUGUUAAGCGAGAUGUGAAAG